GACGUAGGGUGCGAGCGUUGUCCGGAUUUAUUGGGCGUAAAGAGCUCGUAGGCGGCUUGUCGCGUCGACCGUGAAAACUUGGGGCUCAACCCCAAGCCUGUGGUCGAUACGGGCAGGCUAGAGUUCGGUAGGGGAGACUGGAAUUCCUGGUGUAGCGGUGAAAUGCGCAGAUAUCAGGAGGAACACCGGUGGCGAAGGCGGGUCUCUGGGCCGAUACUGACGCUGAGGAGCGAAAGCGUGGGGAGCGAACAGG
rnacentral:rRNA from 1 species